rnacentral:lncRNA from 1 species
GACAAUUGGGCAGUGGAACUUGUUCAUAGUCUUGUGGAAGUACCGCAUACCGACCUUGCCGAAGUACCCUGGAUGGUACUUGUCGAAGAGGAUGCGGUGGUGGUGCAAACCACCAGCGUUACCGCGACCUCCAGGAUGCUUGCGGUGCUUGCCAACACGUCCAUGCCCGGCACUGACAUGGCCUCUCUUCUUGCGGUUCUUCUUCAGCCGGGUCGUCAUGGUUGCCGGAUAGAG